GGAACCUGGCUGGAGGGGCGGGGCCUGGCUGGAGAGAGGUGCCUGUGAGGGACUCUGGACCAGCCCUUCAGGAGAUGGCUUCUGGCCUGCCAACUGCUGCUGCUUCUGCUGUGAACUGUGUCCUCUGUUGACCUGGGGCCUGCCCACCACGUGAAUGGCUACAAUGUGGCCUUAACCAUGGUGGUCAUUCUGUGAAGGUCACUGUUGUCUCCCAGGGACUGGCCAUUAUGGCAAAGGUCCUGGUGACCUGGGGGAGAGGCAGCUGGGCCCAUGCUGGUGAGGCAGAGAGCUGGGGUUGCCGGGACAGCCCUUACCCUCCAGUGUUGGGGGAGAAACAUUUCUUUGAGCGGGAACUUGACAUCCCACUGUCCUCGCUGCGUUUGGCACAUUUAGGACCUCAGAUCCGUGGGUGGUACACAUGUAAGGCCUGAUGUAAACGCUCAGAGGGCGGGACCUGCCGGCAGCCUUCUCUUCUGUGCUUUGUGCUAAGAGUCACCCCCCUGGGUAAUGGUAGUGAGUAGGAAUAAAAUUCCAGAGCUCUUGGGCUUUUGUGUUUCU
ensembl:lncRNA